AGCACGUUACUAUUGCGACAUAACAAAGCAAUCACACGCCAAGUUAAAAACGGUAGACGAAAGUUCGAUAUUUAUUUCUAUUGCUAAAGGAUGUUAAUUAAAAGUUCGGAUAUAUUCAACGAAAUAAUGGAGGAAGUAGUGGAACAAAAGCGGAGAAGAAAAACACGUCGUGGAAAAAAGACACGGCCGGUGUCAGUGAUGGAAAAUACUGGUUGUUCCAAUGAAGCUUGAAGCUUGAGCUGUGCCUGCCUCAAACGUGAGCAAACAGGAAUAUCCCUAUGUUCAGUUGUGUAUACUAAUAUAUACAUCGUUAUAAAAAAAGCCAGAGUUCCCCUGGGAGGUGACGUGGUCCACCAGCCUUGAGACUAGGGGGAGUUGCCUCCAUGUCGAUGAAGGGGCUGCACUUAUGUUGAAAAUGAGUAUAAUCAUGUACACACACAUUAUGAAUAUUAACCAUGGCUUAUUCUAUUUAUUAGGGAUGUAACAAAAUACAGAUAUCUUUGAUUUUCAGGAAUAUCAUUUUUUAAUGCUUAUUUGAAUUCUCUUCAGUUGUGUUGAUAAAGAGUAAAACCAAUGUAGACACAGGUUAUGAUGAUCAACCAUUGCAUAUAUAUUCUAUUUAUUACUGAUGUAACAUAUUACAGAUAUUCUUGAUUUCAGAAAAAAUCAUUUGUUUAAAUUAUUUUAAGCUC